AUUGAACGCUGGCGGCAUGCCUUACACAUGCAAGUCGAACGGUAACAGGUCUUCGGAUGCUGACGAGUGGCGAACGGGUGAGUAAUACAUCGGAACGUGCCUAGUAGUGGGGGAUAACUACUCGAAAGAGUGGCUAAUACCGCAUGAGAUCUACGGAUGAAAGCAGGGGAUCGAAAGACCUUGUGCUACUAGAGCGGCCGAUGGCAGAUUAGGUAGUUGGUGGGAUAAAAGCUUACCAAGCCGACGAUCUGUAGCUGGUCUGAGAGGACGAUCAGCCACACUGGGACUGAGACACGGCCCAGACUCCUACGGGAGGCAGCAGUGGGGAAUUUUGGACAAUGGGCGAAAGCCUGAUCCAGCAAUGCCGCGUGCAGGAUGAAGGCCUUCGGGUUGUAAACUGCUUUUGUACGGAACGAAAAGCCCUGGGUUAAUACCCUGGUGUCAUGACGGUACCGUAAGAAUAAGCACCGGCUAACUACGUGCCAGCAGCCGCCGUAAUAC
rnacentral:rRNA from 1 species